UGGGGAAUCUUGGACAAUGGGCGCAAGCCUGAUCCAGCCAUGCCGCGUGAGUGAUGAAGGCCCUAGGGUUGUAAAACUCUUUCGUGGGGGACGAUAAUGACGGUACCCCAAGAAGAAGCUCCGGCUAACUUCGUGCCAGCAGCCGCGGUAAUACAGAGGGUGCAAGCGUUAUUCGGAAUUACUGGGCGUAAAGCGCGUGUAGGCGGUUCGGUAAGUCCUAUGUGAAAUCCCUGGGCUCAAUCCAGGAAGUGCAUAGGAUACUGCCAGACUUGAGUGCAGGAGAGGAGAGCGGAAUUUCUGGUGUAGAGGUGAAAUUCGUAGAUAUCAGAAGGAACAACAGCAGCGAAGGCGGCUCUCUGGACUGCUACUGACGCUAAGGCGCGAAAGAGUGGGGAGCAAACAGGAUUAGAUACCCUGGUAGUCCCUGAGCGGGCUGGCAAGGCGCAU
rnacentral:rRNA from 1 species